UACGGAGGGUGCUAGCGUUGUUCGGAAUCACUGGGCGUAAAGGGCGUGUAGGCGGUCUGUUAAGUCUGAUGUGAAAUCCCCUCGCUCAACGAGGGAACUGCGUCGGAUACUGGCAGACUCGAGUACCGGAGAGGAAGGUGGAAUUCCCGGUGUAGCGGUGAAAUGCGCAGAUAUCGGGAGGAACACCGGUGGCGAAGGCGGCCUUCUGGACCGACACUGACGCUGAGGCGCGAAAGCUAGGGGAGC
rnacentral:rRNA from 1 species